UCUAGUGAAUAUGCUCGGAUGAUUGAAAAGAGGUACCUUGAUAUUGAAUUGACACUUCUUUUAUCAAUUAAGAGGAGUUCCAGUGGAACUCUCACUCUAGGUGUUUCUUGUAAUAUUGACAUAUUGCUGAGAAUCUAAUGAUAGUUCUGAUUUGGCAGGCAUGAGCAUAUAUUUACGAGUCCCUUGUGUGUUGACAAACUACCUAUUAGGUAGUGUUGCUAGAAAUCAUUUUAUACUUGGCUACGGUCCCUGUACUUUAUCUUGAAACAAUUGAUGAGCAUUUACGUAGUGCUACAAAUUAGAGUCCAUCGAGGGUUCUGAAAAUAGUAGAUGGGAGUGACCGGUAGCGAAACUGUGAAAUUGUUAGCUGAACUAUGCAGUUAAACUUGAUUAUGAGACCAUGCUGGUGUGUGCUAACCAUUUCUGUGAUGAAUACAUCAAAGUAAAUUGAUUGAAAAAUCAUGCCACUACCAGGUUUA
rnacentral:lncRNA from 1 species